UGGGGAAUCUUGGUCAAUGGGCGCAAGCCUGAUCCAGCCAUGCCGCGUGAGUGAAGAAGGCCUUAGGGUUGUAAAGCUCUUUUGGCAGGGACGAUAAUGCCGGUACCUGCAGAAUAAGCCACGGCAAACUUAGUGCCAGCAGCCGCGGUAAUACGAAGGGGGCAAGCGUUGUUCGGAUUUACUGGGCGUAAAGCGCACGUAGGCGGAUUGUUAAGUCAGGGGUGAAAUCCCGGAGCUCAACUCCGGAACUGCCUUUGAUACUGGCAACCUUGCGGCGGGAAGAGGUGGGGAGAAUUACCAAUGUAGAGAUGAAAGUCGUACAUAUUGGGAAGAAUACCAGUGGCGAAGGCGGCC
rnacentral:rRNA from 1 species